rnacentral:rRNA from 1 species
ACGGAGGGUGCAAGCGUUAAUCGGAAUUACUGGGCGUAAAGGGCGCGUAGGCGGUUUUUUAAGUUAGAUGUGAAAUCCCUGGGCUUAACCUAGGAAAUGCAUUUGAUACUGGGAAUCUAGAGUGUGGUAGAGGAAGGUGGAAUUCUAGGUGUAGCGGUGAAAUGCGUAGAUAUCAGGAGGAACACCGGUGGCGAAGGCGACUUUCUGGACUAAAACUGACGCUGAGGCGCGAAAGCGUGGGGAGCAAACAG